ensembl:lncRNA
AAAGUUCCUCACGAAUGGACAUGCUAGUUGUCCAAAGCUACUUUAAUUUAGGACUGGAGCUCCUAGCUGUAGUUUCCCCGGUUCUCCCAGCUUGUUCCUGUAGUUUCCUCACUUCUCUACUUCUCUAGAGCCGUAAUUUCCUUAGUUCUCCUUGCACCUAGCACUGGGUUCCCAAACUCGAGCUCCUCGCUCUAAUUCAAAUAUUUAUCCCUUGUUCUCCUAGGUCAGUUUUAGUUUCCUAUUUGCCCUUUUUUCUAGCCCUGGUUCUCCUAGAUCCUAGUUGUUUUUUGUUUGGAUCUCCUAGUCCCUAGCUGUAAUAUCCCAGGUUCUACUGGUUCCUAGCUGUAAUAUCCCAGGUUCUACUGGUUCCUAGCUGUAAUAUCCCAGGUUCUACUGGUUCCUAGCUGUAAUAUCCCAGGUUCUACUGGUUCCUAGCUGUAAUGUAUCAGAUUCUACUGGUUCCUAGCUGUAAUAU